rnacentral:rRNA from 1 species
GACGAACGCUGGCGGCGUGCUUAACACAUGCAAGUCGAACGGUGAAGCGCCUUCCUUUUUGGUGGGUGUGGAUGAGUGGCGAACGGGUGAGUAACACGUGAGUAACCUGCCCCCUUCUUCUGGAUAACCGCAUGAAAGUGUGGCUAAUACGGGAUAUUCUGGGUCUGUCGCAUGAUGGGUCUGGGAAAGAUAUUGUUUCGGUGGGGGAUGGGCUCGCGGCCUAUCAGCUUGUUGGUGGGGUGAUGGCCUACCAAGGCGGUGACGGGUAGCCGGCCUGAGAGGGUGGACGGUCACACUGGGACUGCGACGCGGCCCAGACUCCUACGGGCGGCAGCAGUGGGGAAUAUUGCACAAUGGGCGCAAGCCUGAUGCAGCGACGCCGCGUGAGGGAUGGAGGCCUGCGGGUUGUGAACCUCUUUCGCCAGUGAAGCAGGCCUGCCUCGUUUGUGGGUGGGUUGACGGUAGCUGGAUAAGAAGCGCCGGCUAACUACGUG